rnacentral:rRNA from 1 species
UACGUAGGGGGCAAGCGUUGUCCGGAAUCAUUGGGCGUAAAGAGCUCGUAGGCGGCUCGGUAAGUCGGGUGUGAAACCCCCAGGCUCAACCUGGGGACGCCACCCGAUACUGCUGUGGCUAGAGUCCAGUAGGGGAGUGUGGAAUUCCCGGUGUAGCGGUGAAAUGCGCAAAUAUCGGGAGGAACACCAGCGGCGAAGGCGGCACUCUGGGCUGGAACUGACGCUGAGGAGCGAAAGCGUGGGGAGCGAACAGG